CUAGAGUUAGAGGGUCAACCAUAUAAACAUUCACAAUGCUAUUAAUUUCGUUUUGGCUAUUACAUUAUAGAAAUGUUCACAGAGAAAUAAAUACAUUUAAUAAAAUUUAAAGUACAUAUGAUGUAUCUAGAUAUUAGAUAUUUGACAUUGAUUUAACAUUUCCUUAUGGUUUAUCCAGGGAAUGCAGACAUCAAAGCCACAGAGGCAGAAAAUGCAGUAGGACUGUCAGAGCAAAAUCACUCUUUCAGAAUUCAAAAAAUUCCCUGUCUUCGUGGAUGACAUUUAUUUACCGGUUUUCUCAGGGCUUGCACCUCAGGCAAAUCGACAUGAAGCAAGAUGGGAUUGCAAGAAGUUCCCGAACUAUGUCCAGAAUGGCUGCAGCAUUAAGAAAGGUUUGCAGUUGUGCUAUGAGGCGUUAUAAACGAAGAAGCGGGCAAAUUAUUGGACAUCCAAGAGAAUUUGCUGUUAUUGACGAAAGCAGCUUCCGUCAUAAACGGAAGUAUGGCAGAGGGAGGGCAGCCACAACUUGGAGACGAAAAAAGUGGGUCUUUGGGAUACUAGGAGUAAAGGAUGAGCGACGACAUCCAGUCUUACGCCUUGUAAAGAGAAGAGGAAGGCAGAAUCUUGUACCAAUCGUGGUCAAGCAUGUGCAACCUGGCACCACUAUUAUAAGUGACGAAUGGAGAGCUUAUAGAGGUGCAUUAGCUGCUAUGGGCUACACUCACUUUAGAGUAAAUCACAGACAGUGGUUCGUGGAUCCCCACAGUGGAGCCCACACCCAGCAUCUCGAGAGAGCAUGGUUGAAGUACAAGUCUACUAUUUGGAGACUCAGAGGAAACAGAACAGAAAAAAUCCUGAAGCAACACCUCUCAGUCAUUGAAUGGACUCACUGGCUAGCUGACAAACAUAGCCAGGGUCCUCUUGGUAGACUGUUAAAAGACAUUCGUCAUCACUAUCCUGUGUAGGAGUUCACCACAAA
ensembl:lncRNA